rfam:Ornithorhynchus anatinus chromosome 1, whole genome shotgun sequence.
CCCCUCUCAGGAUCAUACCUGGAGCAUUUCUGGAACUCUUCUAGUCUUGUCUACAGGAGGGAGAGUCAAGCAGAGGUAUACCCACUCCAUUCCUAGCUUGUGCAGUGGCUAGUGAGUGUAGGGCAAUCUGCUACAAGU